rnacentral:rRNA from 1 species
UACGGAGGGUGCAAGCGUUAUCCGGAUUCACUGGGUUUAAAGGGUGCGUAGGUGGGUUGGUAAGUCAGUGGUGAAAUCCCCGAGCUUAACUUGGAAACUGCCAUUGAUACUAUCAGUCUUGAAUACCGUGGAGGUCAGCGGAAUAUGUCAUGUAGCGGUGAAAUGCUUAGAUAUGACAUAGAACACCAAUUGCGAAGGCAGCUGGCUACACGAAUAUUGACACUGAGGCACGAAAGCGUGGGGAUCAAACAGG